GCCGGGUCGCCGCUCAAUCGCUCGUGUACGAGCGAACCGGGGAACCGCUUUGCUGGACGCAUGUCCACUUGGGGUGAAUCCUGCUUGGCUGUCGGGGCCGCGUGAGAUCACGCGUGUCCAGCGGCCCGGUGGGUAGGGCCAUUCUUCCGGCCCGAAUCCGACAGCUAACCCGGUCGGCGGACGGGAAGAAACU
rnacentral:sRNA from 1 species